GACGAACGCUGGCGGCGUGCUUAACACAUGCAAGUCGAGCGGUAAGGCCCUUUCGGGGGUACACGAGCGGCGAACGGGUGAGUAACACGUGGGUGACCUGCCCUCAGCUCUGGGAUAAGCCUGGGAAACUGGGUCUAAUACUGGAUAUGACUCCACGGUGCAUGUCGUGGGGUGGAAAGCCUUGUGCGGCUGAGGAUGGGCCCGCGGCCUAUCAGCUUGUUGGUGGGGUGANGGCCUACCAAGGCGACGACGGGUAGCCGGCCUGAGAGGGCGACCGGCCACACUGGGACUGAGACACGGCCCAGACUCCUACGGGAGGCAGCAGUGGGGAAUCUUGCGCAAUGGGCGAAAGCCUGGCGCAGCGACGCCGCGUGAGGGAUGACGGCCUCGG
rnacentral:rRNA from 1 species